GUUAACUUAACCUAUUUGUGCUUAGAAGUGUUUGCUUGUCAUGCAGAACGUCCCAGGUUCGAUUCCCGGAGUCGACG
rnacentral:tRNA from 1 species